rnacentral:misc_RNA from 1 species
GAUGAAGAACGUAGCGAAAUGCGAUAAGUAAUGUGAAUUGCAGAAUUCAGUGAAUCAUCGAAUCUUUGAACGCACAUUGCGCCCGCCAGUAUUCUGGCGGGCAUGCCUGUUCGAGCAUCAUUUCAACCCUCAAGACCCCUUCGGGGGACUUGGUGUUGGGGACCGGCAUAGGGGCCUUGCGCCCCUCGCCGCCCCCGAAAUGAAUUGGCGGCCUCGUCGCGGCCUCCCCUGCGUAGUAGCACAACCUCGCAACGGGAACGUGACGGCGGCCACUGCCGUAAAACAACCCAAUUUUAUUAGAGUUGACCUCGAAUCAGGUAGGAAUACCCGCUGAACUUAAGCAUAUCAAUAAGCGGAGGA